rnacentral:rRNA from 1 species
UACGGAGGGGGCAAGCGUUGUUCGGAAUUACUGGGCGUAAAGGGCGCGUAGGCGGCCUUCUAAGUCUGACGUGAAAUCCCCCGGCUUAACCUGGGAACUGCGUCUGAUACUGGGAGGCUUGAGUAUGGGAGAGGGAUGUAGAAUUCCAGGUGUAGCGGUGAAAUGCGUAGAUAUCUGGAGGAAUACCGGUGGCGAAGGCGGCAUCCUGGACCAUUACUGACGCUGAGGCGCGAAAGCUAGGGGAGCAAACGGG